UUUCGACCGUUAAUCGAGGGAUUAACAGAGCCGAAUCAAUUUCGAAAAACUAAUUUACUUCGAGUACAUAUUGAAAGGAUUGACAUCUAAAUCUGAUUCUGUACACAGCGAUCAAACCCAAUCGAACGUUCCCGAGUGUCUGUCUGUAAGUCUAGAAUAACUAUCAAUCAUGCCAGGCCAUGCCAACCGCCACAGUGUUGUAUAAACAUCGACUCACAUCGGCUAUAAAAACACAAAAGCGUUUCGCCCGUCAGCGACACACUGUAAUUCAAUGCGUUUGCACUCGUUUAAGUCGUCUACUCGAAAGUGGGGAGGGACAACGUGCCGCCGGCAUCACUACAAAAGAAAGUCACCCCCACGGGGAUCACGUAGUAACACUUUGGAACUCUUGGAAAGAGCACCCGACCUCACCAACAUCAAGACUGAUAGUGCGAUUUAUUUAAUUACCGAGAUGUGCGUACCGAAUAAAUCCAGUGACUUAAAAAAGCUAUCCAAGUAUCAAUCAAGGGGCUUUAAAAACUUUCAAACUUCCGGCGUCGAUAGUGAUGAAAAAUUCAAAGACGUUCUGUCCGUGUCGACGGACUACACUAAGUCGUGCUUCAAUUACAUCGACGAACGAUUCAAAGAUUUCCAGCGCAGCAGCGCGUACAAAGUGCUCUUCGGAACAACUCAACCCGCUCAUGUAAUAAUGAUCGUUGCCGUGGCGACGGUCGCAUGCCUGUGGCAUCCACGGCGUGAAGAAGCACCAGUAGCAGCUGCGAGUCGAAUCGUUCGGUUCGCGUACUUCGGUUCCUUCUGCAUGUAUCUGGGCAGCCAAUUCUGGAUGACUUUCGUCUCGGGACUGGCGUUGUACUUCAAUCUCCCGAGACAUCACUUCGGCGACGUUCAGCGCGUACUGUUUCCGAAAUAUUUCGCUCUCAAUAGCGCGCUGACGUUCAUCAUCCUCGUCAUCUUCACGCAGAGCGCCCAGGAACUGCACGGCUGCAAAUUGUAUCAAAUGAUCGCUUUGGCUGUGUCGUUCAUCAUAAACCUCGUAAUACGUCUGUAUUUAACGCCGCCCCUGCUAAGGUUAAUCUUUAUCAAGAACAAGAUCGAAAAGGAGGCCGGCGUGGGGAUGGAAGUCGGAGCCGCAGAUGUUGGCGCGCUGCGGAAUUGCCCCCAUUACACCAAGAUUCAUCACAUGUUUAGAAAAGUUCAUAUGUCAAUUGCCAUCGGCAAUAUCAUCACCAUGGGUUGUACUGUAUUUCACUUGUAUUAUUUAUGUCAUUCAAUAUGUAUGCUAUGAACGCUCAAUUACGAUAGUUACAUCAAUUGAAGUGUGGUAUUAUAAUUUAUAGUGAUUAUUAAUUUGUAUUAGGCAAAUGAAAUUAAUUUUAUCAUGAGUCUAUUUAUUAUAAAAUAGACUUUUAUUUUUGGAAGCCGGAAGUGCUAUUUAUAUUACUUCCGCUGCAAUUCCAGACAACACCGCGCACUGGUUAUAAUACGCUUUGAUGGCUUGGUAUUAUUGCUUCCUUCUGUAAUAUCCCAAGAGUACUCGAGCGGACUAAAGGUGGAGACAUUUGUCAGUCGCAAUAACUGCACUCUAAAAGCCAUUCAACUACACAUAAAAUAUUGAUGCUGUUGUAUAUUUAUGAUAGCCAUGAGUAUUUAAAAUCGCGGAAGUAAAAUGACUAAAACUUGACAUAAAAUCAAUAUUGAAGAAGUUGAAGAAAUAAUUAAAUUACUUAAAAGUAUUUAAUAUCGAUGAUAUCAUAUAUUCAAAUAAAAAUAUUGUAUUGAGUGGGAAAGAUAUCUAGGAAUAAACUGAAUUGACAUUU